rnacentral:rRNA from 1 species
ACGAAUCACUGGUGUACCAGUUGUCUCGCCAGAGGCACCGCUGGGUAGCUAUAUUCGGAGCGGAUAAGCGCUGAAAGCAUCUAAGCGCGAAACCGACCUCAAGAUGAGAUUUCCCACAGCAUAAGCUGGUAAGACCCCUGAUAGAUGAUCAGGUUGAUAGGCCAGGUGUGGAAGCACCGUGAGGUGUGGAGCUGACUGGUACUAAUAGGUCGAGGGCUUGACCUA